UAGGGAAUAUUAGCAAUGGGCGAAAGCCUGAACUAGCAACGCCGCGUGUGCGAAGAAGGCCUUCGGGUUGUAAAGCACUUUUUGAGAGGAUGAGGAAGGACGGUACUCUCAGAAUAAGUCUCGGCUAACUACGUGCCAGCAGCCGCGGUAACACGUAGGAGGCAAACGUUAUCCGGAUUUACUGGGCGUAAAGCGCGUGUAGGUGGUUUGGUAAGUAGGGCGUGAAAGCUCCUGGCUCAACUGGGAGAGGCCGUUCUAAACUGCCGAACUAGAGGAUGGUAGAGGGAGGUGGAAUUCCGGGUGUAGCGGUGGAAUGCGCAGAUAUCCGGAGGAACACCAAUGGCGAAAGCGGCCUCCUGGACCAUUCCUGACACUCAGACGCGAAAGCUAGGGUAGCAAACGG
rnacentral:rRNA from 1 species